UACGGAGGAUCCAAGCGUUAUCCGGAUUUAUUGGGUUUAAAGGGUGCGUAGGUGGCUUUUUAAGUCAGGGGUGAAAGACGGCAGCUUAACUGUCGCAGUGCCUUUGAUACUGAAGAGCUUGAAUAAACUAGAGGUAGGCGGAAUGUGACAAGUAGCGGUGAAAUGCAUAGAUAUGUCACAGAACACCAAUUGCGAAGGCAGCUUACUAUGGUUUGAUUGACACUGAGGCACGAAAGCGUGGGGAUCAAACAGG
rnacentral:rRNA from 1 species